rnacentral:rRNA from 1 species
GAUGAACGCUGGCGGCGUGCCUAAUACAUGCAAGUCGAGCGAAUGGAUUAAGAGCUUGCUCUUAUGAAGUUAGCGGCGGACGGGUGAGUAACACGUGGGUAACCUGCCCAUAAGACUGGGAUAACUCCGGGAAACCGGGGCUAAUACCGGAUAACAUUUUGAACCGCAUGGUUCGAAAUUGAAAGGCGGCUUCGGCUGUCACUUAUGGAUGGUCCCGCGUCGCAUUAGCUAGUUGGUGAGGUAACGGCUCACAAAGGCAACGAUGCGUAGCCGACCUGAGAGGGUGAUCGGCCACACUGGGACUGAAACACGGCCCAGACUCCUACGGGAGGCAGCAGUAGGGAAUCUUCCGCAAUGGACGAAAGUCUGACGGAGCAACGCCGCGUGAGUGAUGAAGGCUUUCGGGUCGUAAAACUCUGUUGUUAGGGAAGAACAAGUGCUAGUUGAAUAAGCUGGCACCUUGACGGUACCUAACCAGAAAGCCACGGCUAACUACGUGCCAGCAGCCGCAGUAA